rnacentral:rRNA from 1 species
AGAGUUAAACAGUACGUGAAAUUGCUAAAAGGGAAACGAUUGAAAUCAGUAGUGCCGGCUCAAAAUCAGUUGUCCAUUUCGGUGGGCGAUGCACUUUUGAGCAGGCGCGUCAACAUCAGUUUCUGGUGCUGGACAAAAGCCGCGGGAAGGUAGCUCGCCUCGGUGAGUGUUAUAGACCGCGGCCGAUACAGUGCUGGAGACUGAGGCCUGCGACGCGUGCCCUCGGGCUGGUUUGCCCUGCAUCAGGUGGGGUUGCACUGGUGAACAGCGUGCUGAUCACUAGUGUACUCUCUGCUUCGUGUGGGAGCAUCACACCCGCGUCAUGGAUGUUGACGAAAUGAUUUUAAACGACC